rnacentral:rRNA from 1 species
CACAGCACCGCAUGGUGCAGGGGUAAAAACUCCGGUGGUAUGAGAUGGACCCGCGUCUGAUUAGCUAGUUGGUAAGGUAACGGCUUACCAAGGCGACGAUCAGUAGCCGACCUGAGAGGGUGACCGGCCACAUUGGGACUGAGACACGGCCCAAACUCCUACGGGAGGCAGCAGUGGGGAAUAUUGCACAAUGGGGGAAACCCUGAUGCAGCGACGCCGCGUGAGCGAAGAAGUAUUUCGGUAUGUAAAGCUCUAUCAGCAGGGAAGAAACUGACGGUACCUGACUAAGAAGCACCGGCUAAAUACGUGCCAGCAGCCGCGGUAAUACGUAUGGUGCAAGCGUUAUCCGGAUUUACUGGGUGUAAAGGGAGCGUAGACGGAUAGGCAAGUCUGGAGUGAAAGCCCGGGGCUCAACCCCGGGACUGCUUUGGAAACUGUUUAUCUAGAGUGCUGGAGAGGUAAGUGGAAUUCCUAGUGUAGCGGUGAAAUGCGUAGAUAUUAGGAGGAACACCAGUGGCGAAGGCGGCUUACUGGACAGUAACUGACGUUGAGGCUCGAAAGCGUGGGGAGCAAACAGGAUUAGAUACCCUGGUAGUCCACGCCGUAAACGAUGACUGCUAGGUGUCGGGUGGCAAAGCCAUUCGGUGCCGCAGCAAACGCAAUAAGC